CCUACGGGAGGCAGGAGUGAGGAAUAUUGGACAAUGGACGCAAGUCUGAACCAGCCAUGCCGCGUGCAGGAUGAAGGCCCUCUGAGUUGUAAACUGCUUUUGUACGAGGGUAAACCCCGAUACGUGUAUCGUUUUGAACGUAUCGUACGAAUACGGCUCGGCUGACUCCGUGCCAGCAGCCGGGGUAAUCCGGAGGAUCCGAGCGUUAUGCGGUUUGUUUGGGUUUAAAGGGGGCGUUGGCGGAUUGAUAAGUUAGAGGUGAAAUGGCGGGGCUCAACCCCGAAACUGCCGCUAAUACUGUUGGACUAGAGAAUAGUAGCGGUAGGCGGAAUGUAUGGUGUAGCGGUGAAAUGCUUAGAGAUUAGACAGAACACCGAUUGCGAAGGCAGCUUACCAAGCUAUAUCUGACGUUGAGGCACGAAAGCGUGGGUAGCAAACAGGAUUAGAUACCCGAGUAGUC
rnacentral:rRNA from 1 species